GAUGAACGCUAGCGGCAGGCCUAACACAUGCAAGUCGAGGGGUAGAAGUUGCUUGCAACUUUGAGACCGGCGCACGGGUGCGUAACGCGUAUGCAAUCUGCCUUGUACUGAGGGAUAGCCCAGAGAAAUUUGGAUUAAUACCUCAUAGCAUUAUGAUGUGGCAUCACAUUAUAAUUAAAGUUCCAACGGUACAAGAUGAGCAUGCGUCCCAUUAGUUAGUUGGUAAGGUAACGGCUUACCAAGACGAUGAUGGGUAGGGGUCCUGAGAGGGAGAUCCCCCACACUGGUACUGAGACACGGACCAGACUCCUACGGGAGGCAGCAGUGAGGAAUAUUGGUCAAUGGGCGCAAGCCUGAACCAGCCAUGCCGCGUGCAGGAUGACGCAUCUAUGGUGUGUAAACUGCUUUUGUACAGGAAGAAACACUCCCUCGUGAGGGAGCUUGACGGUACUGUAAGAAUAAGGAUCGGCUAACUCCGUGCCAGCCGCCGCCGUAA
rnacentral:rRNA from 1 species